UACGUAGGGUGCGAGCGUUAAUCGGAAUUACUGGGCGUAAGCGUGCGCAGGCGGUUCGCUAAGACCGAUGUGAAAUCCCCGGGCUUAACCUGGGAACUGCAUUGGUGACUGGCGGGCUAGAGUAUGGCAGGGGGGGGUAGAAUUCCACGUGUAGCAGUGAAAUGCGUAGAGAUGUGGAGGAAUACCGAUGGCGAAGGCAGCCCCCUGGGCCAAUACUGACGCUCAUGCACGAAAGCGUGGGGAGCAAACAGG
rnacentral:rRNA from 1 species